AAAUAGAAUAUAGAGAAACCCUAUUGGCGUCAAAGAAAGGAUCUAAUUGCUUCAGGUAAUAGUUGUCUCUACCGACGCUAAGGUGCGAAAGCAUGGGGAGAGAACACGAUUAGACACCCUGGUAGUCCAUGCCGUAAACAAUGAGUAUUCGCCCUUGAUCUACGCGGAUCUGGAGCCCAGCUAACGUGUCAAAUACUCCGCCUGGGGAGUACGGUCGCACGAUCGAAACUCAAAAGAAUUGAUGGGGGCUCUGCACAAGUUCACAAUUUCUUAAUUAGUACAAUUAUAUAUAUAUAUAUAUAUAUAUAUAUAUAUAUAUAUAUAUAUAUAU
rnacentral:ncRNA from 1 species